GUGUGYUUACUUUGAGUAGGCAAAUUUGUUUUCAUUUUCGUAUGUGCAUAAGUAGUAGAUUUGUGAAAAUUGCCUACAAUGCAUAAGUCAGGCACCAUUGUGCUGACAGCAAUAACAACGCGUGAUAUAAGCUCAGCGCAGUUUCGAACGUCACGGCGGAAGUACUUAAUUUUAAAGUGUUUAGAUUUAUACAAAGCUCCACCGAAUAUGAGUUGGGUAAAUAUAAAUGCAUAAUUAUGCCAUUAACACAUCGUGGAAGGCGUCCCACAAUGAAUAAAACUGAGCARAAGAACACUUGAACCUUAAGCUGACAUUCACUUGCGUUGUGGAGGACUUCUCGGGUAUUAAUAUCCUCAUCUUCAAUGAAUUCCUAUUGCAGUUUAUUUUUUACUAAAUMAAGCCGCAAUAACUCGUUCUCGGGCAGUUAGCCUCAGCAGCWGGUGUUGCAAUGAUAUAAAAAAGAAAUUUGUUUGCGGUAUUUGUGGACUAAUAACUUUAAUUAAGUUGUUUUCAUGAAUAAAUAUGAAAGUCGUAGUGAAUAACUCACAA